AAGCUCGUAGUUGAAUUUCGGAAUCAAUUUGUUGGUCGUGCCUCGGUACGUACUGGUAUUAUUGGUUUCUACCUUCUGAAGAACCUUGAUGUCAUUAAUUUGGUGUCUUGGGGAGUCAGGACUGUUACUUUGAAAAAAUUAGAGUGUUUAAAGCAAGCAUACGCUUGAAUACAUUAGCAUGGAAUAAUGAAAUAGGACGUUUGAUUCUAUUUUGUUGGUUUCUAGGAUCGACGUAAUGAUUAAUAGGGAUAGUUGGGGGCAUUAGUAUUCAAUUGUCAGAGGUGAAAUUCUUGGAUUUAUUGAAGACUAACUACUGCGAGAGCAUUUGCCAAGGAUGUUUUCAUUAAUCAAGAACGAAAGUUAGGGGAUCGAAGACGAUCAGAUACCGUCGUAGUCUUAACCAUAAACUAUGCCGACUAGGGAUCGGAUGAUGUUAAUUUUUUAAUGACUCAUUCGGCGCCUUACGGGAAACCAAAGUGUUUGGGUUCCGGGGGGAGUAUGGUCGCAAGGCUGAAACUUAAAGGAAUUGACGGAAGGGCACCACCAGGGGUGGAGCCUGCGGCUUAAUUUGACUCAACACGGGGAAA
rnacentral:rRNA from 1 species